rnacentral:rRNA from 1 species
GAUGAACGCUGGCGGCGUGCCUAAUACAUGCAAGUCGAGCGAACAGACGAGGAGCUUGCUCCUCUGACGUUAGCGGCGGACGGGUGAGUAACACGUGGAUAACCUACCUAUAAGACUGGGAUAACUUCGGGAAACCGGAGCUAAUACCGGAUAACAUGUUGAACCGCAUGGUUCAACAGUGAAAGACGGUUUUGCUGUCACUUAUAGAUGGAUCCGCGCCGCAUUAGCUAGUUUGUAAGGUAACGGCUUACCAAGGCAACGAUGCGUAGCCGACCUGAGAGGGUGAUCGGCCACACUGGAACUGAGACACGGUCCAGACUCCUACGGGAGGCAGCAGUAGGGAAUCUUCCGCAAUGGGCGAAAGCCUGACGGAGCAACGCCGCGUGAGUGAAGAAGGUCUUCGGAUCGUAAAACUCUGUUAUUAGGGAAGAACAAAUGUGUAAGUAACUAUGCACGUCUUGACGGUACCUAAUCAGAAAGCCACGGCUAACUACGUG